CGCGGCCGGAGCGCGCGGCAUUUGCACUUGCGGUCCCCAUGCCGGGCGGUGAUGUCACCGCGCGAGCGAGGCUCCUAAGACGAGGUGGGGCUAGUGUCACGCAAAGGCUCCGCCCCCGGAGAGCCCCUCGUUUCUCCCGAGCCACGGCCAAGCAGCGGGCUUAAUUCCCCCACUCGUGCAUGGGGACCAGGGCGCGAACGAACAAAGGGGAACUCCCGAGUUGUUUUCCAACCAUCGCAAGCUGUUGGCCUGCAGAAGAACUGCAAGGAGUGUUGCGUACUUUUCUCGCAGUGCUUAUUGUCCCUCGCUUUAUUUAUUCAAGCACCACGUGUGUUUUAGCCUCCCCCCCACCCCCCAACGCUUUGGCACCAUGCUCCUUGGUGCAAUUCAGACCUGCCUCCAUUAAGGGCAGACACAUUCUCUCUGCAGCGCAUUUUGGACAAUGAGAGCAAAAUCAAUUACGUUCAAGCUUCCCAAUGACCGCUGUAGCUCUAACUGUAAACAGUUUUCCAAGAAUUAUGGCGGGAGUGAUUAGACUUACCCCAUUCAGUACUUCUCUUUCAAUUGUUACAGUUUAGCAAUCAAUUUCCCUUUUUGUUUCUACCGCUGCAUAAACUAGGUACUUUGAAUUCAGCAAUGCUUCAGGUAUCCUAUAGUCUUAGAACAAAUCUACAAUACCACAUUAGGUCAACUUAAAUUAUGUCAACAUACAGCCUGCACGUUAAUUGAAUCAGUUUUACACACCCACUCUAUAUUUCAGCUUUAGGCCCCCCAUUUCAGAUUUUGGUGGGAGGGGAACCUGUGCCAUGAUGGCAGGGGAGAGAAUGAAAAAUGAUCAACUACAGCAUAGUGCUCCAUAAAGGUGACAUUAGAGGACCAUGUUGCUGCCCUGCAAAUGUCAUAAAAUAGGACUCCUCUUAGGCCGUAGCAGACGACACCGCUCUGGUAGAAUGGGCCUUAGGAAGAUACAGUAAAGGUCCUGAAAUUGCUUCAGGUCGUCUGAUGGAGAUAUGUCGCCUGGGAAUACCGCCUCAUCCGGUGAUAAAGAGGAACAGUCAGAGAAGUCUCCGGCUUAGGGUCUUCUGUUUCAGACAGCUGCCCCUCUUCUCGUUUGGAUUGGUCAUGCUGAAUGGUUGGACUCUUCGAUGGAGGAGAUGGAGAUAAACUAAAGAUCAUUCUCUGAAAGAGAAACUAGAAGAACAAAGGGAGCUCCGACCGCGACCAGAGGCGGUUGAGAGGAACUGAGCGGUUGCUGGACUCUGUGUGGGUGAUCAAAGACGCGAACGGCACUCCAGAGAAGCCGCACGUACACGGUCCAGCGGAGCACGGCUAUGACAGCUCUCCUAGCCACGGCGCUGGGACAGGACCUGACACCAGGAGUGGAGCACCCACGGAGACCACUCGAAGAACAACUGUAAAAUAAAGCGGACACAGACUCCGAAGCAGGGAAGUGGGUGGGAAGUGGAGCAUCUAUGGGGACCAUCUCAAGGAACGACAGUUACUGCACCAAGGUGAGUAACUUCGCUUUCUUCGAGGAGUCCCCAUGGGUGCUCCACUGUAGGUGUCUGCACAGCAGUGUCCCCCUCCCCGCAUAUCAUCGAGGUAGGUGGGAUUCAGAGCCUAUCGAUUGGCCAAUGAAAGAACUGCAGCUGUUACAGAUUUAUCUGACAGCCAUCUGUGCUGUAAAGCAUAAUGUUCUGCGAGGGUGUGAUAGGAUACCCACAUGGCUGACCUACAGAUGUCUGCAAGGGGAACCCCUCUAAGAAAGGCAGUGGAAGUUGAAAUGGCCAUUGUAGAGUGAGCUCUAGGGCGCUCGGGGAGCAGUAUUCCCUGACUAGCAUAGCAGUGGGUUAAGCUUGACACGAUUAAGUUAGCUACUCUUUAGACAGAAAUAGACUGACCCUUGGAGCAUUCAGCUAGGGACAGGAGAAGUCUGUCUGUCUUUCAAAAUGGCUUGGUGCGGUCAAUGUAAAAGGUUAGAGCUCUAUGUACAUCUAGUGUGUGGAGAGCGGCUUCCUUAGCGGAUGCGUGUGGUUUAGGGUAGUAUGCAGGUACUACUAUAGUCUCGUUAACAUGAAAUUCAGAACAGACCCUGGGUAUGAAGGCUGGGUGGUCUCUGAGGACAACACCGUCCAUCUGGAAGAUGGUGUACAGUGGUACCGCCAUCAACACCGAGAGCUCACUGACUCUACACGCUGAGGUGAUCGCAAGCAGGAAUACCAACUUUUGGGUCAGGAGCUGUAGUGGUAUUGUGGCCAACGGUUGAAAUGGUGGGGCCUAAGGGUCUGCAGUACCAAGUCCAAAUCCCAAGCAGAGGUGGGGUGCGCAAGGGCGGGUUCAAAUUAGUUAGGCCCUUGAUGAAUUUCUUUAUGAGGGGAUGUGCAAAUAUGGAAAAUCCCUCUGUUGGUUGUCGGAAAGCCGCUAUUUCCACAAGAUGUACUUUGAGUGAUGCUAACACGAGCCCCGUUUGUUGAAGGACCAUUACGUAGUCGAGAAUGGUAUGAAUAGGAGCAAGUGUUGGGUCAAUGUGGUGGUCUGAGCACAAAGCUGUAAACCUUAACUCAGUGGUACCCAACCUUUCGGGGCUGCCGGACGCCCGGGAGCAGGGCCAUGAACGU